rnacentral:lncRNA from 1 species
GCGUGACACUCAGGUGUGCAGAGAAAGGAGCGGGCGCCCUACGCCCCUACCCUCUAGGCGUCGGGUUCCCUCGUGCUGUUGGGAAGAGAGGAGGUCCGGCGUGGGGCUCACUGGGGAAGCAGCAGAGGACGCGCCUUUCCCGAAUCCCAAACUUAUUCCCCAAAGGAGAAGGGAAGGAGCGCGUCCUCUCAGUGACCCGGACUGGCCGUCCCCACCCCAACCCCUUCCUCGUAGCGGUUCCGGCAAUUCGGGGACAACCCGAAGGGCAUCAAGGCGGAGGCGCUCAGUUCCCUUCUCAGUUCCCCCUGAGGCCGGGGGAAGGCAGCUCCGUGGAUAGACUGACCUGCGAGGUGGCGCGGUUUCCAGCGGCGCGGGAUGGCCGGGUCCGAAAUAGGGCUGGAGCCUUCGUGGAAAGCAAGACGUCUCCAGGAAGUCGGAGGCCUCUCCUGGACACCUGCUGCUCUGGGAGCUUGAACACCCACUCUGGAGCCUCUAGGUGUCGUCCGAGCCAGGGGCGCUGGGAUUGGGAUGAGGACCGAGAAGGGUGCCUCCUUUGCCCAGCCCUGCUACACCUGGGGCCUCGGCAGAGCUGGGGUUUUCUCACAGCAUGCGCACCUGAGACUGGGGUCGACGAGUGGAGUCAACUCCUAGCCUUCACGCCCCCUGCUCGUCUCUGACAGCUGGGGUCGCAGAGGUGUGGCCCGUUUGCACACAGUCAAGCCAGAGGAUCCGAACGCGCCACCCCUCCUAUCUGGCUGCUAAGCGUGGGAAGAAACUGCUCUGGAAGAUUUUGCUGAUUUUAUUGGCCUAAACAAACCGAAGAAAACAGUGCAGCUUAAGCCCUAUUCCUGAUUUUAAAGCAUACGCAUGCUUGCAUGCAGAUGUCACCUCUUCUUGACCGAUGAGGGAAAUCCCCAGAUUAAAGUCCGUGAAACGUCAGAGCCCUGCGGUGAUGAGGCUCCGGGACGACACUCACGCAAUUCCCUGCCAAGGGAAGUUGAGAAAGCACCAGUCCACGUCGUACAAGUGGGAGAGAACUCCAGGGACCUCCCAGCGAUUUGUGCAAAUGAGACCAUGCCAUCUAGCUUCCCAGAAGCUCCGGCCCUCUGUUCCGACGUUACAGGUGUGGCUCAAAGCGGGCCGUGGCCCCAGACCUGCAGCCCCGGGCACAGCUAACAACUACAGUGAAGAGGCUGAGGCCACCCCAGGAGCCAGAACCAGAAGGCAGGGCGGGGAGGCUCUCAGCAUCCCCCUUUUUAAAGGCCACGGGGUGGGAAAUUGUCCAGAAUGCUCCCCCAUCCAGAUUGCAAAGUUAAAGUCAAUAGUGUGUACUUUAGUGGUGACUAACCUCCAAUUUUCCUCUUCCCAUUGCGCUGAGUCAGUCCCUGGCGACCUGUUCACUUUAAGAGUUUGGAUGCAGAAGGAAGGAGGGGCCCAUCCGUUUCUGGGCUUUGAAAGCAUGGCAUUCUAG